rnacentral:misc_RNA from 1 species
UUGAAAUUAUUUCACACUCAAACGUUUGUUUAAGUAUGCAGUUAAAUAAGCUGAUAUAGUGUUCAUUCUGCUGGUGCGACAAUUAUCUUUACAUUUGUCCUGUCAAUUAGAAAUCAUGAUGAACUGAGUAGACUGACUGACUGACUAGCCGCUCUUUAAUCACAGGAGGCUAAAUAAACUAAUUCUGUGCUCCCACACCAAGAGAGUUGGGAGUUUAAAUUAAAUAACGGAUUGUUUAUUGUUCCGUGCACGUCUCGACUGUCAUGUUAUUUCAUCCGAUAUUCCGCCCGCGAAAAUCUCCCUGCGAUUAUUCCAAAUUCACCGACGCCGUUUUCAAAUUUUCAGAGCGAGGUUGAUUACUUUCAAGCUAGCUUAGAUAAAUUAAGGUAUGAAAAUUUAAGAUUAAUUUUUCGCUACAAAAUCUAUGCCAAGGAUGCAGGAGAUCCAUCUUUUUCUUCUAUGUCAAUAUUUUGAUUUAACACUAGAUUCCCAGGUAGUCACGUUUGCCUACAGGUUAACAACGCGAAAACGUUUUGUCUUCCUAAAACAUGCGCUCCCGUUUCCAGUACAUGUAGUUGCGAUUGUGGUGUAGAAUGGGUAUAAAUCACAGCAAUAGGGUUUUACAAACCACAAACAAUACGGUUUAACAAACCAGAACUUGUGUUGUGGAGUCCAGUUGUAUAAGCUGAUCACUUAAACUAGUGUCACGCAAUCUUUUCCGUCAGCACAUGUCAUUGUGACCAGUGAUUUUUCUUCAAACGUCAUUGGCAGAAAAUACAGAAAAGCCAAAAGAAAAAAAAACGGGUAAUCAGCAAAGGCUCAAAAUUUCGGGUCCCGACUCCAACUGGAGCAAGCAUGAUUUAUUCCGAGAUGACGGUGAGAUUUUGAUCACAUAACAUUAAUUUUGAACCCAGUAAUGUCCCAUAACUGAAUGGUAUGUUCAGUAUAACUUUGUUUUCAGUAUAUUUCGAUAACUAAGUUCCCCUAACUCAAUCGAGUACAUGUCUUUUAAUAUUACUUGUGAGGAGUUGGUGGCAGAUCAAUUUUAUCCCUUAGUUGACGAUCUCAAUUCCUUGUUUCUUGUCGACUUCCUGUUUAAAUGGAAGCGGAGCAGCAUACCAAAUUGUGUUUUUGUCUGUAAGCCUUGGUAACAUCUCAGGCGAGUCUGGUCAAGCUAUGUUUGGUGUUUGUCCGGGCACAUUUAAGCAGAUCAAAGAAGACUGAUGCCCACUAAGUUUAGCAAAAUUUCAUUAGAAGGUACUUUCGGUGACAAACUUCAGGUUUAUUUCUUCGCGAACAAGAUUUUUCCCCAGUUAAAAUGUAACAGCCAUCGAAGUAUGUGAGUUCGAAUUAUCUUGAUUGAAAAUAGUUUCAGAAAAAAAAAUAGGCUUGCUGUCACAUAUACGUUUUCGCUUCCUAUGAAUUUGGCGAGAAAAAACAUCGAAUUUUAUGGGUUUUGAGGGAAAUUUGUUGAUAAAAUCGCUGGUACAAUGUGUGAAGUGCUCUUUUCAACGGCUGUGAUUUCGGCGCGAAAAUUGGCUUGCUCAGCUUUUGUUUGGUGACGUCAGACAAAUUACUAACUGAUCCAAUCUUAUGUCUUACGUUAGCUGCAAUUAUGUGUCAUCUUACUUACGAAAAUUUCAACUGUUAUGCGCAGAAUCUAACCUGUAGAUGACAUCACAGGACAUAAGCUCAGUGCAUUGAUAUUGCGGUAGGAUAAAGACCAAUAAAAUUUAUUCGUUUUGCGGCAAUCUGCCAUGAAAGAAAAACUUUGCGCUACGUUGCAUGGUGGUCCUCUGGACGGCUCACAUACAUAUGACGAGAACUAUGAUUAAAGAGAAGGAUUUUAGUUUUAUAGUUUUAUUACAAUUCAUGGCGCUAAAAGAAUUACUUGUAAAUACAGAAUAAUAAAUUCAUAAUUAAAAAAAAAGCCAAGGGAUAAUCUGUAAAUGAGUCCAGGAUCCCAAAUAAAAACAGUUCACCGAAUUGGUUAGAAGUGCAUGUGAUAUCUAAGUAAUACUAAAAGUGUAAAACGUAAAACUAUAAAAACUGGAGUUAGAAUACUCAUAAGUCCAUGAAAAGCCUCUUACCUCUAGCUUUAAACAUAUUUUGAAAGAUGAGAGCUGUUUUUCAUAAACCGUAGUCAAUGAAACGUCGGUUACUUGGUGCGCUGGAGUGCCAAAAUACUCACGGCGAGACCGAACGAGCCCUGUUAGCCGUCGAAGCAGACUAAAAUGGUACGAUCGAAACUACAGUGAACACCCGCAUAUAAAAACAAAUGGAAUAAGAACAUCAGGCUGAAAUGCGGCCCAUAAAGUACCAUAAAUAUAAGAACCAGUUUAACCUGAUAAAUAGAACAUGUCCUUAUAUAAUAACGGAAAGGGUGUCGGAAUAAGAAAGCAAUGUAACUAUGGCUGCUGCCAGACAAUGGUGGCCCGGUUGAGUUAGUAUGACUGUAAGUAAUAUUUAAAAAAUGUUGAAACUAAUGUUACAUUUCUACUUGUUAGUGUUAACUAUUUUACUACCUGAGAUUGUUAUUUUAUUCAUUGAUUCACUGAUUUGCAAUUGUUUACUUACUUAUUUAUUUAUAAUAAAAUAUGCUAACUAAACCUCUAAUAACAUGUUAUGUGUAGUAUUUCUGAAACAAAGUUUAAGAACAUAAUUUAUUAAGAACAUCUUCAGGCUGAUUUCUCACUAAGCACCCGACAAAUAAGAACCAGAUCAGCCUGAACCCGAAAUCAUGUGUUCUUAUACUUUAUUCUCACUAGAUUUCACGAGUGUUCAAUUUCGCGAAAAGUCAAGCGCCAUAUAUCGCGAGUUUUAAAUUUUGCGAUUUUGAGAGGAAAUUAGAAUUGGAGUGUAUUAAAUUUCGCGAUUUUUCUCUCUUCUUUAAUAUGUCGCUUAGACAGCGCUGUAGUUGGACAUCUUCCAAGGGAGAUUUUACGUGUCACGUUGUUUUUAAUCCUGAAUGGUGGUAUUGUAAAAGUGGACGUAAUUAACUCUAAGCACAGAAGAUCCCCUUUGGUACAAGGAGGGCUUGAAAUUCGGGUGAAAGUAAUCACUGAAAUGUAGCACAGCACAAGGGGACGUGAGAUAUUUGCAAGACACCAGACACAUCUCAGAAACAAUUACAAAGACCCAACAGAUGGAAAGUUUGACGACUGCACAAACGAGAUUUUGAAGAACCUAGCGGCAGAGGACAGUUCUGACAGCGAGAGUGAUGCAGUGGAAUAUAACUGAUGGACAAAAUCAGACGAAAAACUCCUAAACAUGAAGCUGAGACAUGUUGGAAUAACAAUAAUAAAAAAACAGCUAGAAUUUCAUUAUUAAUUGAUAUUAUAUAGGUAUUAAAUUUCGCAAUUUUUAAUCUUCGCGUGUCCUGUAUUUCGCGAGUAUUAAAUUUCGCGAUUUUUCGAAAGUAGCGAAAAUCGCGAAAUUUAGUGAGAAUGAAGUGUGCGGGUGUUAACUGUAUUAGAUGUAACCUUCUCCUGCUCAAGUACGAUUACUUAUUUAAGGUUCCCAAAUCUGGCCGUAACUUCGGCCGUAUCAGGGCGACACUUUCAAUCCAGCCAAAAAUUACGGGACUUUCAAAACGAGAGCAAAUGGUACAGAAAAUGCUAGGAAAAUAUACUAAUAUAUAGGAAUCAAAAAUAUACGAAUUGAAUCGUUCGGUCGAAAAUUUUGAAAGACGAUUUUGUAGAAUUUUUUUCGAAACCACGACAACCUCGCGAUAUUUACCCAAAGUUUUGUAUUUUUCUUAGACCUUCUAAUAAAUCUUCGUUUAUAUCAGAUCUCGACAGGUUUACUCAAAUUUCUUUCGCUAAAUAAGAUAAAUGUUAAUUGUUAGCAAACGUCAUGACAGCUUAAGGAACAUAUUUUCAAAAGCUUUUAGGCAGUUGUCUUCUGCAUUUUGCGGCUGUCAAUAUUAUCUUUACCGGCGAAAUAGGCGGACAUUUUUUUGUUUAGGCCAUUUCCAUGUUUGAUUGUCGUGCCAAUUCCGCCUUAUAAUUCAUGUGAUAUCCUGUUUUGCAUAAGUAAUAACCAUUUGGUCCUCUCCCCGCCCGGAUAGAGCCAUUAAGAACUCUGCUCUCAAAAUUUAAACAUGUAGGCACAUAUUGACCAGCAAUCAAAGAUACGCGUGGGUAACCGUGUUCAAGAAAACACCAGUGCAACAGCAAGAUAUUUCGACAGAGCUAAGUGAUGACCACGAAUUCACAGAUCACGGCUGGAAUUGAGACCAUGAAGAAUCUACACCUGGAGAAAAACUCCAAGCUUCGUUUGGUAAAAUGCUUCUUCCUUUGUUCUCUGUCUCUUCUUAUGAUUCAAGAUGCCUCAUCUGCGACUGACGUGAAGUGUGAAAUAAAUUCAUCCUUUUGCCCACCAGGGUGUCAGUACGCAAAUCCCAUCACAGUAGAUCCCGACUCUAAAAUCACUCGCAACUGCUCGAUCAUCACACGAGGACUGGAGCUAGGAAUGACAUGGAGACAAGCGAAGAAAAAAUUCCAGAACAGUACUGGUUCACCAGACUUGGUAUUGCUGCAGUUAAAUUCAACGAAGGAAAGCGACACUAUGUCAUGUGACUGUACCAAUAUACACUUCACAUGUAGGUGCUACUUCGCUUGUUUUUAUCUUAGCUUCCAGUAUUUAAAUAAAGUCUUCGAGUCCUCAGCUUCUAUGUUCGCUAUGAAUGAUCAACUGAAAGGUUUGAAGUGUAAAUGGAGGAGCGCUUAGCAAAUGAUCAAGGCUUAGGUUUAUUGGCUCAGUUGAGUUGCGGACAGAGAUGUGUGAACGCAGGCUGAGCGUGUUGCUAGCAGAAAAAGAUCAUAUGUAAAUUUCCCUCUGCUUUGAAAACAAACCUUUUGAAAGUGCUUCUUUGUUUACAAUUUUUUGAUUGCGGCGUGAUUGAAGGAAGUUUUGCGCGGACUAAAUGUCCUUGAGUGAUUUUUCCACCAUCGAUGGCUGGUUAAAGAUAUGUGCAAGUCUAGGCUGCCGUUGAAUGAUAUGCUAGUGUUUCAUGAGAAUCCUUUUAAGAUUCGGUGUGGCUGGGUUAUAAGUGGUAACAAACGGUAAAAUUUCUUUCGCCUUCUUUGUUUUGUUACGAAGAGCUUCUGUUCUGUCUGAGAGCUGAACUUCAGUCAAGAUUUUAUGAACGAGCGCCGUGGGAUAGCCUCUGUUACAGAGUCUUUGCUCAAAAUCUCGUUUGUAUUUAUAAAAAUUCUCUUUGAAUGAGUUGGUUCUUAAAAGACGUAAUGCUUCUCCUUUGAUAAAACCCUUUUUAGUAUUGAACGGGUGGCAGGAUGAGAAGUGUGUAUACUGAAAAGUUUCAGUGGGCUUGAAGUGGGUUUGUGAAUCGAGAGUUUUGAGAGUUGAAAAGCAAGGUCCUCUGAAUACAUGUACCUCUGUGUCGAGAAAAACAGCGCGUUCGGAUGACAUUUCACAAGUAAAUUUGAUCGUAGGGUGGAACGAGUUAGCGAAGUUAGCAAAAUUGGAAACUUCUUCCAUUGGAAUGUUCCACAAAGAAAAUAUGUCAUCGAUAAAUCUCUUCCAAACAAAGGGUUUCAGUGGGCUAGUUCUGCAACAAAAGGGAUUGCACUCUUAGCAUUUCUCGCUCGACGCAUGUUGUCUAUUGCCUUUGAAAACUAAGAUCCAAAUAGAAAUGUUUUUAUAAGUCACCACUCUUGGCAACAGUGACAUACAUUUUUCAGCUUAUUAUGGUUUGGCAGCUGAUUGGAAACUUUGAGUGAGGGAUGGCCAGGCCAAGUUCCUGUCAUGCCGCAACUUCUGACUUAACUGGAUCUGGUGAAACGUGGUUGUACAGCAGGCAGUACGGUUAAAUGGUACAUUUUGACACUGUUGUCUCAUUAUCUCUUUGAGGUUUCAAAAAAUUCUCAAUAGGUUAACAGUUGAAUAUGUGAAAGAAUUCUGUCACGGUAUUUUGAGUUAGUUUGCCCACAUACAGAACUACCUUUAAAUUGGAGGAAACUUGAAAAUAAUAGUUUGCCAAGAUAGAA